ACCAUGGGGAAACAAAUGAACUCAAGAUGCUUCCUCAACUGGUCCAGUCCAGUAUUAGGCCUGAGCAGAGGUUACAGCCUGGUCCAUCUCCUGCUCCCACCGCAAAGGAAUGUGAGAAGAUCAAGAACAUGUUGAAGAACAUCGGGCUUAACAUGGGCACAACGGAGAUCAGCAAUAUGAUGGUCAAGCUGCAGCAAAAGAAGGAGGGGGUGAUGCCAGAGCAGAAGAAUGAGGAGACGCAGCCUGCACUAGCACCUCCUAUUGUACUUGUGUCACAGGAGCCAAAAAUUGACUCGCCAGGAGUUGGAGCAGCACCAAUCCGACAAGCACUAGAGUCAUUACAGUCCAUUAUUAAAGCGAAAAGGGAGAAAAAGGCAGAGAGUAAUCCAAAUGAUGGCAACCAUUCCCAGAGGAAUUCAGACAAACAAAAGAACAAAGAUGACAAGGAGAGUCAAAAGUCAAAACAGGACCAUAUGAAAAGAAAAGAGACUCUUUUGAGGGAACUAGCGGAAUUGCUAAAGCAGGAUGGGUCUGCCUUUCUAAUUCCGGUCAUUGGGUUCUACUGCCAGAGGUGUGAGGAGUUCUUUGGAGACCUGAGCACUGCUGAGUGCCACUCGGCAGCUCACAGGCGGAAUGAGCCUAGCAUGCAGAAGCAUGGAGACAGGAGGCCUGGAGACAGGAGGCCUGGAGAGGACAGAAAACACCCUAGACCGCAUCAAAGCAGACACCCCCUGCCCUCGGAUUGGAGAGACCAGCAAGACCCAAGAGAUCUGAGGCACCUUGAGUACCAUAGGGAUGUUAGGCACCCUGACCUGAAACGACAACAGGAUGAGUGCCCCAAGGGCUACAGGAACGACAGGGAGAAGAUGUAUGUGAAAGAGGAACAACCUGAAAGCCCCAGGUUUACGAAUGUCCUCGGGCACACCCCACCAGGACUACAUAAGGGCAGGGGGCGAGCGGAGGAGGGGAGGGUGGAGAAGGGUUACGGUGCUGCGUUCUCUGCCCCUGCAAGUGGAACACAUGGCAGGGUCAAGUUGGAGGAGGUGGAGACCAGGAUAAAGCCCAUUGGUGGAGUAUGUGACGAAAUGGACAAAGAUGAAGAUAACAGAGAGAGCAGUUCCGGCAGUGAUGAAGAGAAAGGCAAAUCUCCUAAAGGCCACAAAAAGAAGAAGAAGAAAGAGAAAAAGAAAAAGAAGAAGAAGGAAAAGGAUGGAAAAAAGAAAAAAGAAAAAGAUGAGAAAAAAAAAGAUAAGGAUGACAAAACAUCUUAGUUGCUGUACUGCAUGUCUUGGUUGAUGGUUUCUGUGAAGGACCUACUUUUAGGUCAUCGUUCAUUGCAGUUGUUUUCUGACGUUGAAGCUUUUAAAAUGUGUUAAAUUGUUCCUUUGACCUGUGUUUUGGAGUUGUCUUUUUCAAAAAACUGUCUCCGUUGUAGAGGAUAACAGCACAUUCAUUAUAUGCUGUUCCAUGUGUAAAUUUAGCAGGUAUAAUGUCCAGAAUUGUUUUGCUGCAAGCUGCUGAUCCCAUUCUUCUAACCUUUAGUUUCUUAAUCUUUACGGCACAAUACUCUUAUAUUGGGUCAAGGACAUGUUUGUGUGUACAGUGCCCUCUGUGAGUAUUGGGACAGUAAUGCAUUUUUUAUUAUUUUUGUCUCUUUACUCAUUGAGUAUGAAAUUGAUAUCAAACAAUUGCUAUAAAAUUAAAGUAUAGAUUCUCUGCUUUUAUUUUGGGCUGUUUGUGUACAUAUUGUUUCACCAUUUUUAUGUGACAGCAGUUUGGAACAUACCAACGUAUCAAAAUGAAUUGGUACAGAUUACAAGAAGGCACGUUGUUGUUGGUUUUGAGGUAUUUUUGCAGUUAAGUGUCAUUGUCAGCUAAUUACAGAUGGAUUUAUUUCUAGAGAUUGAUUGGGUCACUAAUUGGCCCUUUAAACUCUCUGUAAAUAGGAGUUAUAUAAUAUGAGAGGCAUUUGCUUGUAGUUUAGCAGGCAAGCUGUUUCUAUUCAAAUUCAUAUGGCCACUUCUGGACAGAUGUUACAUUAGUAAAGCCUCAUGGUCUGUCCACAAUACAAUUUUGCAGAACUCUGCAUGCUCUAAUGUACUUUUUGCAAACUGUAACCUGGCUAUCCUGUUUUUAGGGCUAACUAGUGGUUUGCAUCUUCCAGUCUAGCCUGUGUGUUGCUGAUUUUACUAUUCUGCCUCUUGGUGAAAUGUUAUACCUCUUGGUUUAGUGUUCUGCC
ensembl:lncRNA